GACGAACCGUGCGAACGUUGUUCGGAUUCACUGGGCUUAAAGGGCGCGUAGGCGGACGGUCAAGUCGGGGGUGAAAUCUUUCAGCUUAACUGGAAAAGUGCCUCCGAUACUGAUCGUCUCGAGGGAGGUAGGGGCAUGUGGAAUUCCUGGUGUAGCGGUGAAAUGCGCAGAUAUCAGGAGGAACACCGGUGGCGAAGGCGGGUCUCUGGGCCGUAACUGACGCUGAGGAGCGAAAGCGUGGGGAGCAAACAGG
rnacentral:rRNA from 1 species